UACGUAGGGGGUAAGCGUUGUCCGGAAUCAUUGGGCGUAAAGCGCGUGUAGGCGGCCAGAAAAGUCCGCUGUGAAAACUCGAGGCUCAACUUCGAGCUGUCGGUGGAAACUUUCUGGCUAGAGUCCGGAAGAGGAGAAUGGAAUUCCUGGUGUAGCGGUGAAAUGCGCAGAUAUCAGGAAGAACACCCGUGGCGAAGGCGGUUCUCUGGGACGGUACUGACGCUGAGACGCGAAAGCGUGGGGAGCGAACAGG
rnacentral:rRNA from 1 species